UAUCUGAGUGCAGAGAGGAGGACAGAGAACAGUGGACACACAGUUUAACAUGAUGGACUAUAGGACAGGACUGCUGUUUUUAACUAUCUGCUGGGCAGGUGUUUGCAGUCAGACUCUGACUGAGUCUGAACCAGUGGUAAAGCGCCCUGGAGAAUCCCACAAACUGACCUGUACAUAUGCAGGAAUAUCAGAUGAUAACGCUUAUAUCGCUUGGAUCAGACAAGCUGAAGGAAAAGGACUGGAGUGGGUUGCCUACAUUUCUGCUCCAAGUGGAAGCACUAAAGCUUAUUCAACAUCGGUCCAGAAUCGCUUCACCAUAUCCAGAGACAACAACGUGGACCAGGUGUAUCUGCAGAUGAACAGCCUGAAGACUGAAGACUCUGCUGUUUAUUAUUGUGCUCGAGAGCCACAGUGACACAGGAAGCCACAGAGCUGUACACAAACCACUGCAGAUGUCACUGUGACAGUCACUGAUAGAAAGUGCAAGUUUAAAUACCCCAUAAUUCACAGUAUUUGAUGUAUUUCCCCACACUAUGCUUUUGUCACAACUUGCCCUAAACAGAAACAAAAAGUGGAGUUCACACACCAUCAGGAUUAUUAUCUCUUAUAUGAGGCUGAGCUGUAAGAACAAUAACAAAAAAAUGAUCUGAGUCUUUCCUGACCUCUCACUACUGAUGGCUUGCCAACAGGUCCAAAUAAAAAAAAAAAAAAAAAACAUUCAUCAU